rnacentral:misc_RNA from 1 species
GGAAAAAUACCAUGGAAACUUCUAUAAAUAGGCUUACCUCUAACAUAGAUUAUAGUAAAAGGUGGUAUGCUUACUUUUUCCUCUAGAUAGUACAAAUGAUAUAUUUUGGUUAUAUCAUAAGAUGUGCCAUGGCUGCCAAAUAAUCAACUACUAUGUACUUGAUAAUAGAGACUUGUUGAUCCGACCAAAAAAUAUUGAACUUGACAAAAAUAUUUUUUCGAUUGCCCUGACCCAACUCGAUUAAGGCUUGCUUCCAAGGUGGAUUGAACUUGGGAUUUCACUUUUCGUUGGGGAUCAACCUGCUUGACUCCACCUUCCAAAGUACUACCUUUUUGAACAAAGGAUUCUUAUGCUGUAUAAAAUUUUCAUGUCGUAUAUGUUGGAGGUUUG